rnacentral:rRNA from 1 species
ACGCUGGCGGUGUGCUUAACACAUGCAAGUGGUGCGACGAACCAGAGCUUGCUCUGGGGCAAAGCCGCGAACGGGUGAGUAACACGUGGGUAAUCUACCCCGAUGACCGGGACAACCCGAGGAAACUCGGGCUAAUACCGGAUGUGGUACGGAGACAUAAGUCUCUUUACUAAAGGUAGCUUCGGCUUCCGCAUUGGGAGGGGCCCGCGGCCCAUUAGCUAGUUGGUGGGGUCAAGGCCUACCAAGGCAACGAUGGGUAGCUGGUCUGAGAGGACGAUCAGCCACACUGGGACUGAGACACGGCCCAGACUCCUACGGGAGGCAGCAGUGGGGAAUCUUGCGCAAUGCGCGAAAGCGUGACGCAGCAACACCGCGUGAGGGAAGACGGCCUUAGGGUUGUAAACCUCUUUCAGAUGAGACGAAGGUGAUGCGGUGAAUUGCCGAUGUCAUUGGCGGUACCGUCAGAAGAAGCUCCGGCUAACUACGUG